AUGGCCUUAACAUUUCUGAGAAGCUCUGGUCUGAAUCAGAGACAUGUAUGGCCUAACUACGUAAGUUUAUUUAGUAACUCAAUUGUUUUGACUAGGGUUGAUAGAGAAACGUGUGCAGUAACCUACCAAAAUAGAUUUUGUUAUUUGGCAACAAAAAAAAAAAUAGAUUUUGUUGUAUUACUCUGUAUACCAAAACUGAUUUCAAUCCGUCUUUGUGGAAUUUAACCUGAUUAUAUGUACAAUUUUAGAAACGUAUAGGA